UACAGAGGGGGCAAGCGUUGUUCGGAAUUACUGGGCGUAAAGGGCGCGUAGGCGGCCUGCUAAGUCGAACGUGAAAUCCCUCGGCUCAACCGGGGAACUGCGUCUGAUACUGGGUGGCUUGAAUUCGGGAGAGGGAUGCGGAAUUCCAGGUGUAGCGGUGAAAUGCGUAGAUAUCUGGAGGAACACCGGUGGCGAAGGCGGCAUCCUGGACCGGUAUUGACGCUGAGGCGCGAAAGCCAGGGGAGCAAACGGG
rnacentral:rRNA from 1 species